rnacentral:lncRNA from 1 species
AUGGUUUCCAACUUCAUUUAUGUCCCCGCAAAGAACUUAUCCAGCUACAGAGAAGCUCCUUCAAAUAGCCUCUCAGAUUCAUGCCAGCCAAUAGCUCAGGGUGCAAACAAGUCACAAUACUGCAACUAAUGUCUUCUGAUAUGAAAGCUAUGUUUCCAGAGCCACUGGGGCCAGGACGUGGACUCAAGAGAGACAGAAAUAUGCUCACUGGAUACUGUGGCUCAGUAAGGAACCGUGCCAGACCUCUCAUAUGUAACUGUUCUCUCCAUGUCAUUAGUAUAAGAAAAGAGGAAACUUUGGAUGCCACCAAGGCUAGAUUGUUCAGGUGAUUCUGCUCCAUCCCUUCCAAGCUCCCCCAUGUAAGUGGAAGGAGGCAAGGGUGUAUGUCCGUCUCCUGGAGGAAAUCCACUAAGUUCCUAGUUAUGGCUGACGAUGUGUGCCUCUCCUUGGGAUGUCAAACCACAUCUUUCCUGCUACCCCUGAAGGUAUACAUUUCUGUGAGCCUGCACAUAGGUUGUAAUAUCUGCCCUUUCUACUUGCACAUCCAGUGGCACCUAGUGAAGGACAAGUCCCACUAGUCCUGAUGGUACAACCUUUACAAAGUGUCCAAGGUGUUAUAUUACCCCUAAAUGGGAGAAAUAUCUCCCUUUGGACAUGGAGGACGACUUGGCUGAGUUGGGAUGCCAACAGGGGAGUGAUUAGGGGUCUUUGUCUCUGGACUACUGCAGCCCUGGAACAGCAAAUCUGCCCUGAGGGGGAAACACCAGUACAGCAUGAUGAAGCCCCACCCGGUUGCCUGACCUGAAUAUACCUGGAAUAGUUGUCUAAAUGUCUAAAUGGGGAUGAGAUGAUUCUUCCAGGCUGGUAGAUGACUUGCAUUAAGAAGUUAAUGGAGACAAAGGAUCCUCAAAACGAGUCCAUGUUUUUUUUUAUCAAAACAGUAAGAAAUAAAGAUGAAGUGGGGGAUUGAGUGCUGGACCACAAACUGCCUUAUGAGAUUAUCUCACACCAAAUAAUGUGACUAAAGCUCCUAUGAAAAGAGAUGGACACAGAGGAAAUGAUGGCUUCUCAAACUUUUAGAUGCAAGGUAGCUUGUUCAUAUAUGGAAACCCAAAGGAAGCUAAAGAAAGUACAAGGAACAGACUAAUAGGAUAUAAUGAAGACUAAUCUGUGAGCUAGAGCAAUUUGUUAGUAGAAGGAGAACCUUCAGAAGAUUGAGACAAAGGGAGAUCCCUUUAAAGACUAGAAUUGUUUGUUCUCAUCCUUGAUGUUAGCCAUGCAUGACCCUCAAAUCCCGGAAUCUUUGAAAGUACAUCCAAGAGAUGAAGCUAAAGACUUUGUCAAACCAAUCUCAUUUACAUUGGUGGUACUGAAGUGGAGCACAUGGAGGAAACUCUUGCUGCUUUCAGCACCAUCUUGUAAAACUGAUCCUGGUCCCUGAGUGGGAGCCCUUUCACAUUAAAAAACUAGUGUUGAGGUCUUGUCCUUCUAUCUCCCAGGGAGAAUCACCAUAAGUGUUGAACUCUUCAAAUUCCUACUUUUACUAGAUUAAAAACCCCAGGUAACUUUUACCCAUGGGUCAGAGAAGCUACAAAAUAAAUUCUUUUUUUUUUCUUGAUUUGAGAUUAGUGUUUGCCAUUGCUCAUAAGCCCAGAUCAUAAUUACUUGAUAUUUUUCACCUUUUGAAUGGAACAUGAUAGCCCUUCCUUUGUCAGACUGCAUAAUUGGCAAAGGAAAUUUAUACUGUAGAAGACCCUCAGUAGGACCUGAUGUGUUGAUGCUGAAUGCACCAGUAGGAACUUCCUAUGCUACCAAGACCUGCUAUGGUCAUUCAAAAUUUGGUGGAGAGAUUUUCCUCAUUAAAGGAAAACUUUGACUCUUCAAUUUCACAUUCCUAUUUGAUAAUAAGUACUUUCUGAGUUGAAGUCCCAUAAGGCCCACUCAUGGCCACCCAUAGACAAAUCAGCAUGCACUUCUUCCCAUCAGAGCCCAUAAAAACCCUGGACUCAGCCAGACUUGGACAGAUAUCAGGACUACCAGCUGCUGGAAGAAGCUACCCUCUUUGACUUGUUGGGAUGACCUGCCUGUGGAAAGGAGCUACCCACUGCAGGUCUCCUCUCCACUGAGAGCUGGACAUUCAUUGGGAUGACCUGCCUGCAUAAAGGAGCUACCCACUUUGGGUCUCUUGAGAGCUGUUCUGUCACUCAAUGUAGCUCUUCUCUCUGCCUUGCUCACCCCCCAGUUGUCUGUGUACCUCAUUCUUCCUGGACGUGGGGCCAGAACUCAGGAUCUUCUAAAUGGCAGGACUGAAAGAGCUGUAACAAACCAGGCUGAAACAUGCCUGUCUCCCACUUGCCAUGUUGUGGGUGAUGAAGAGAGAAGAGCUACAGCUGGUAGUGCAAACUGAGCACAGCCAGCUGGGCCAGGUGGGCAGAAUGAACCCAGAGGGCAUGAGUUAUACUCAAGCAGAGGGCGCCACUGGCCACAGAAGUUUCUGGCUGGCAAAGUGACACCCCAAGGAUCCCAUGACAGCAUGUGAGAUAUAUCUGAAAUCUGCUUCCUAGACAGACAUACCUCAUUUCUUCAUCUUCAGCUUUUUGCUCAACCGUCAUCCUAUCAGUGAGGCCAUCCCUAACCACCCUACUUCAAGUUGCAGCAUUUGUUUACUCCUUGGCAGGCUCUUUCUCCUUUCUCUGCUUUAUUUUUCAUCAAUACAUUCAGUUUCUUGUAAAAUAUUGUCUUUUAAAGAUAAUUAUUAUUUGGUUUCAUC